rnacentral:lncRNA from 1 species
CCGUGUGCAGCCCUUGCAAACAAAACAGGUGCUUGGGCUGCACUGCACGGAGACACGCACGCAUGUUCCUCCGUCAGGGUCUGCAUAAGUGAGAACACACAGGCCGGGUGUGUGUCUGUGCCGCAUGUUUUUAUGCAAUGCCAAUUAGCUUCUACUAACCGUGGUUAACUAGAAACCCAACGUCUAUCUGUGAAUAAACGAGACUGCACAGCAUGGAGGAGACAGGACACAUUGUCAGGGAGGGCAGGGCUGACGGUGUCUGAGCGUCAGGAGGGAACUGGAGGAGCGCGCUCCACAGGAUCACACCAGAAUACUUAUUUAUUUCUACUUAAAUGACAGGAUAGGCAACUAGGCAGUGGUCAGUAACACAGUUAGCUUUACCAAAAUGAAGUUCAAAUCACUUUAAGUUUAGAAUGCUGUAGCAAAAGAUACGUAUUUAUACUGGAGUAUUUUUUCACCUCUCACAUUCUCAGUCCUAAGUUUGAGACCGAUGGAAAUCGGACCAGAUGUGAGAAGCCAGGGGGUGGGGACAUGGAGACGGCUUGCUGGCACCACUUCCUGUCUGUGCCACUCUGUCUCCACAUCCCUGUGGUCACAGCUCAGCCCAGGCCAUGGGUGUCCCUCUGGCCGCUGGUGGACCGGGACCGUGGCAGUGGGCAGAGUCUCCUGCCCCCACCCCAGGCUGCUUCUGUGCUCAGGCACUGUCUGUGGCUGCUUCAGCGCCGCAUCAAGUGGUGGGGAAGAAACCUAAAAUGUUCACCAUCUGCCCCUUUAUGGGGAGCGUGUGGCCCUUGUCCAAGGGCAUGCGGAGGGCACGGCCCCAGGCAGGGCCGGCCAGUGGUCACCCUGACCUUUGAGAUGCUUUCGCUCUCCCUUUUGACUCUUGAAAAACCAAACCAAGCCAAACAACAAAGGAAACCCGCACAACUUAAAAGAAAACUUGAAAGGGAUCGUAUACUACUAGUUUGUACUAAGUUUUUUUCAGGAAAGGGAAAUAAAUUUAUAUAUAUAUGCAAUAUAUUUUUACACUGUUUUGUUACCAUUAGGGAGUUCUGA